rnacentral:rRNA from 1 species
GCGCAGGCGGUUUUGUAAGACAGUGGUGAAAUCCCCGGGCUCAACCUGGGAACUGCCAUUGUGACUGCAAGGCUGGAGUGCGGCAGAGGGGGAUGGAAUUCCGCGUGUAGCAGUGAAAUGCGUAGAUAUGCGGAGGAACACCGAUGGCGAAGGCAAUCCCCUGGGCCUGCACUGACGCUCAUGCACGAAAGCGUGGGGAGCAAACAGGAUUAGAUACCCUGGUAGUCCACGCCCUAAACGAUGUCAACUGGUUGUUGGGAAUUUAUUUUCUCAGUAACGAAGCUAACGCGUGAAGUUGACCGCCUGGGGAGUACGGCCGCAAGGUUAAAACUCAAAGGAAUUGACGGGGACCCGCACAAGCGGUGGAUGAUGUUCUUUAAUUCGAUGCAACGCGAAAAACCUUACCCACCUUUGACAUGUAUGGAAUCCUUUAGAGAUGAAGGAGUGCUCGAAAGAGAGCCAUAACACAGGUGCUGCAUGGCUGUCGUCAGCUCGUGUCGUGAGAUGUUGGGUUAAGUCCCGCAACGAGCGCAACCCUUGCCAUUAGUUGCUACGAAAGGGCACUCUAAUGGGACUGCCGGUGACAAACCGGAGGAAGGUGGGGAUGACGUCAAGUCCUCAUGGCCCUUAUAGGUGGGGCUAGAAACGUCAUACAAUGGCCGGUACAAAGGGUAGCCAAGCCGCGAGGUGGAGCCAAUCCCAUAAAGCCGGUCGUAGUCCGGAUCGCAGUCUGCAACUCGACUGCGUGAAGUCGGAAUCGCUAGUAAUCGUGGAUCAGCAUGCCACGGUGAAUACGUUCCCGGGUCUUGUACACACCGCCCGUCACACCAUGGGAGCGGGUCUCGCCAGAAGUAGGUAGCCCUAACCGCAACGAGG